rnacentral:lncRNA from 1 species
AUUUCAUGGGCAGAACAAGUGUCUGAACCUGAUAUUAUUAUGUCUUUUACACGUCUUUAGGGCUGUGAUGCCAGCUGUUUAUCCUUGUAUGAAUUGUUUUAAGAUUUAUUUAUUUAUUUUAUGUAUAUGAGUUCACUGUAGCUGUACAGGUGGUUGUGAGCCUUCAUGUGGCUAUUGGGAAGUGAAUUUUUGUUGGACCUCGCUCUCUCCGGUCGGCUCUGCUCGCUCUGACUCAAAGAUUUAUUUAUUAUUAUAAAUAAGUACACUGUAGCCGUCUUCUGAUGCACCAGAAGAGGGCAUCAGAUCUUAUUAUGGGUGGUUGUGAGCCACCAUGUGGUUGCUGGGAUUUGAACUCAGGACCUUCGGAAGAGCUGUCAGUGCUCUUACCUGCUGAACCAUCUCACUAGCCCUGUAUGAAUUCUUAAUGAAUGUUUCAAAGCAAAUUUAGCUUUUUUUUGUGCAAAUGUACAUAUAAAAACAGCUAGAUCUGUGUUUCUUACAAGUUUAACUUAUAAAUAAAAACAAAUUAUAAUUUAAGGAGCAUUAUACCAUUAAUAUAAUAUGCUAUAAUAUAAUUUUAUGUUUAAUAAAUUGUGCUAUAUGCUGCUCUGUUUGAAAUUAUUUACAAAUUGUUUUCACUCUCCUUAUCCUCGUUUGAUUCUUAAGUCUAUAGUGAAUGAUAUCAUUAAUUAGAAUUAUAUUUGCUGUUAUUCUGAUUUUAUAGACCAGGGAAUUGAACCUUUCUUAUCCGAGGCUCUUACACUUGUCUGGGAUCAAGUUUUAAAUUUUAGAUUAUUUACAAGAUGAAGAUAUUAUACUCUUGAGACUUGAAAAGUUUAUUUAUUUUUGAAAUUAGUAUAUAUUAGUUAUAUAAAAUAAUAGAAUUCAUUGUAUACUAAAUAACCAGCAAGAACUGUUUUAAACAGAGAAAAUUUUCUAAUGGUAAACAAGUUGCUAUUUCUACCCAGCUAUCACUGAAGUAUUUUUAUUCUCUUAUGUUGGAUAGUAGUCUUAUUUAUAAGCCUGCAUAUGUUCCUUAUGUUGCUCCUCAAAAUACUUAGAAAUUUAAAAAGUGCAUCUGAGAAGAUUGUUAUAGUUUGUACCAGAAGGAACUAUGAUAGAAUUGAUUAUGUCUUGGUCCCAAGGUCUUCCAAAUAUGAAUUGAAGUGCAGAAGCCAUGAAAGAACAGUUGUAGGUCAGGCAUGGCAGCGCCACGUGCCUUUAACCCUAAGCCCAGCUCGUGGGAGGCUGAGGUAGGUGGACCUUGGAGUUCCAGGAAAAGAGCCUGUCUUUAAAAAGAAGAAGAAGAAUUCGAGUAAUGUGUUCUAAAAGAAUAUCCACUGGAAGAAGAAUCCACAACCGUGAUAGAAAGGAGAAGUAGUGUUCUUCACUUACACAGAGAGCUUUAACAAACCAGGAAGAUGGGCUUAUGUAGUCAAUACGGGGACCAGAUCUCCUCUAGAGGAGAUGUAAACUGCUCUUAGCCAUGUGGGAAGUCCUGGUGUUCCUCAUGAAAUCUCUAUAGGAAUGCCAUUGUUGCCAACACUGCUGAGCAGAUGGCAGCUCCGCGUUGAGCUGGAGGGUCUAUCACCCAGUGCUGGCUUAGGAAGGCGGGUUUAUUGUCUGUUAAACACACUCGUCUUCGGCUCAACAUGCAGGUGCCAGCAGUUUGGCUUGUGGACAACAAGCAGCCACGCAGAGGAACACAAUAUAUAAUGUUAGUUGUUGUAGUAUUAACAGUGACUGUAGACUGAAGCCCAGUGUGCAACCCCAUUUGGGUUCUUCUUUUAAAUCUUUCUCUUUUACUUCCUUUUGCUUUUAUCAGCUCCUGGUAUACUGUUUAUUUCAGAUUACUUUAUGAAAAAAUACAGCUAAAGUAAUAAAAAGCAGAAAUCUACACUUGUGAAUUUAAUUAAAAAAGGAAUUUAAUGAGAAAGAAUAUUGGAUAACAGUUGGCAGUUGUAUAGCUAGAAAGCUCAACUUGGAAAUGGCAGCUGGUGUUAAAGAAGAAAGACUUUAUAGUAUCAGGACUUGCAGUGGGUGAAGGUGAUAGAUUGUCUUCCAAACUGAGCGUGGAGUGUCUUUUUAGUGCAUGGGAGAACUUUGAGUCCCUGUUUCUGAAUCUCUAUCAGGUUCACUUUUUAAGUUUCUUCUUUAUUCUUCAGUAUACUUUCUUUUGAAAACAUUUGAGACAACUGAAAAAGAGCAAAAGGCUUUUGAGGAACUUGGUUUUUAUAAAGCCAACACUGGGAGGUUAAAGUUACCAACAAAUUGUAAAAUUGUUACCAUAGUUAGAGCACUAAAUAUCAUGAGGAUAUAAACUAUUGUCAUAUUUACAGAAAUAAAGUGUGUACCCCUCACCCUUUUUAAACAUAAGUUCUUGUUCUGUAGUCUGGGCUAUUAAUGAAUUUAUGACAAUUCUGCUUUUGGCUCCUGAGUACAGGGAUUACAGGAUAGUAUCAACAUGCAUGGCUUUUUGUUUUUUAUAAGACUUACCUACUCCUGUUCUAAGUUCUUAUUUUUAUUGUCCAUUUGCAUAAUAUCCAUGUACUUUAUAUGCCUUAUAGACCUCAGUCUUUGAUUAACAAAUAGAGGAUAGAAAGAGAGAAGAUAGAAGUUUAGAUGAGAAAUCAAAUUGUAAUGUACAUGGUUCCUGUUUUGUGGUUAAUUAGUCAGGGGUUGAGCAGUGUGGUGAUUUUGAAGAUGACCAAUUAAUGGAGCCCCUUGAAGGAAGUAAUUGCUUUCUUUGGUAGGCUCAUGAGAGCCACUAAGGGCUUGGAGGGCUAAAGAAAGUAGGUUACAUACUGGAAAAUAUAAAACAUAUAUGCACGUGUGUGUGUGUGUGUGUGUGUGUGUGUGUGUGUGUGCUUGCGCGCGCGCGGCCAUGCACGUGAUGUGUGACAUAGGGCUUAAAUGCAAUUUUCUUUGUGUUUUUUUGGCAUGUUCAUCAAUGAACCCUGUCCUGACCACUCUGAAUAAAACAGACUUUUCUUUCCACCCUACAUUAAUUUCCUUCUGAUAGCAUUUACUACCACUGCUCAGAAUAUAUUCUCACUUGUUUCCUUCUUUUCUGCUCUUCCUCACGAUUGUAAUUCCAUGGCACAAGGAUUGUAUUUGUUUAUAUUCUAGAGCUUAAUACAGUCCUGAUUUAUAACCUUUAGUAAGUAUUGAUUAAAUGAGUAUUCAAAUUAAGGUAACCAUAAGCAGGCAUGAAAGCACAUGCCUUUAAUUCUAGCUCUUGGGAGGCAGAGGCAGGUAGAUCUCUGUGUGUUUAAAGUCACCCUGGUCUACAAUAGUGAAUUCCAGUAUAUCCAGGGCUACAUGAUGAAACACUGUUU